AGAGUUUGAUCAUGGCUCAGGAUGAACGCUGGCGGCAUGCCUAACACAUGCAAGUCGAACGGGAUCCAGACUUCGGUCUGGUGAGAGUGGCGGACGGGUGAGUAACGCGUGGGAACCUGCCCAAUGGUCUGGGAUAACCGCGGGAAACUGCGGCUAAUACCAGAUAAGCCCGAGAGGGGAAAGAUUUAUCGCCGAUGGAGGGGCCCGCGUCCGAUUAGGUAGUUGGUGAGGUAACGGCUCACCAAGCCUACGAUCGGUAGCUGGUCUGAGAGGAUGAUCAGCCACACUGGGACUGAGAUACGGCCCAGACUCCUACGGGAGGCAGCAGUGGGGAAUAUUGGACAAUGGGGGCAACCCUGAUCCAGCAAUGCCGCGUGAGUGAUGAAGGCCUUAGGGUUGUAAAGCUCUUUUACCGGGGACGAUGAUGACGGUACCCGGAGAAUAAGCCCCGGCUAACUUCGUGCCAGCAGCCGCGGUAAUACGAAGGGGGCGAGCGUUGUUCGGAAUUACUGGGCGUAAAGGGCGCGUAGGCGGCGAUCCGAGUCAGAUGUGAAAGUCCUGGGCUUAACCUGGGGACUGCAUUUGAUACUGGAUUGCUUGAAUUCGGGAGAGGAUAGCGGAAUUCCCAGUGUAGAGGUGAAAUUCGUAGAUAUUGGGAAGAACACCGGUGGCGAAGGCGGCUAUCUGGACCGACAUUGACGCUGAGGCGCGAAAGCGUGGGGAGCAAACAGGAUUAGAUACCCUAGUAGUCC
rnacentral:rRNA from 1 species